UACAGAGGUCUCAAGCGUUGUUCGGAUUCAUUGGGCGUAAAGGGUGCGUAGGUGGCGCGGUAAGUCGGGUGUGAAAUUUCGGAGCUUAACUCCGAAACUGCAUUCGAUACUGCCGUGCUUGAGGACUGGAGAGGAGACUGGAAUUUACGGUGUAGCAGUGAAAUGCGUAGAUAUUCGGAAGAACACCAGUGGCGAAGGCGGCUCACUGGCCCGGUACUGACGCUGAGGUGCGAAAGCGUGGGAGCA
rnacentral:rRNA from 1 species